GAUGAACGCUGGCGGCGUGCCUAAUACAUGCAAGUCGAGCGAACAGAUAAGGAGCUUGCUCCUUUGACGUUAGCGGCGGACGGGUGAGUAACACGUGGGUAACCUACCUAUAAGACUGGGAUAACUUCGGGAAACCGGAGCUAAUACCGGAUAACAUUUGGAACCGCAUGGUUCUAAAGUGAAAGAUGGUUUUGCUAUCACUUAUAGAUGGACCCGCGCCGUAUUAGCUAGUUGGUAAGGUAACGGCUUACCAAGGCGACGAUACGUAGCCGACCUGAGAGGGUGAUCGGCCACACUGGAACUGGGACACGGUCCAGACUCCUACGGGAGGCAGCAGUAGGGAAUCUUCCGCAAUGGGCGAAAGCCUGACGGAGCAACGCCGCGUGAGUGAUGAAGGGUUUCGGCUCGUAAAACUCUGUUAUUAGGGAAGAACAAACGUGUAAGUAACUGUGCACGUCUUGACGGUACCUAAUCAGAAAGCCACGGCUAACUACGUG
rnacentral:rRNA from 1 species